rnacentral:lncRNA from 9 species
CCCUCCCAUGGCACAGUGCUCCUUAGGACCUCAGGCUGUCCCCACAUACGCAGCCCCAGUCCUCUCCCCGGCUCUGACCUCUGGAGCCUGAGGCUCAGCGCCCACCCCCACCGGAGCGUCUCAGGCUGUGGUCUGGGCCAGUGCUUUGCCCUCCUCAUUCCAGCUGCUGCACUUUUUCUCGGCAACUUUGAGGUCCCUUGGACUCGGCUGAUCUCCCAUUAUGUCAAGAGUUUCUUGCCCUUUUUGGAGGUUUAAGUUCUUCUGCCAGCAUUCGCAGAUGUUCUGGGUUCCCAGCACAAUGAGACUUGGGCUAAUUAACUCCUAAGCAGAAACACAGACUUACAAUGAGGUACAGAAAGGUCAGUCUUGAGUUUCAUUGAAAUAUUUUGUUAAAUCAGUAACAGGUCACUUGGGCUCUAAGUAGGGUUUUUGCAUUUAUUUUUCUACCAGCCUCAAGACAGUUCAUGAUUGUAGAAUUCUAUAGUCAAAAUGGUCUGAUUUCAAUUUUAAAUAUUGUUUGUGUUCAGUGCAUAGACGCAAAA